CAUCGUUCAACCCCGUUUGCCUUCAGUCUGACUUAGCUGACUCAAGCCACCACAUCUAGUAACCAAGUCUGCCAGCCUGCUAGCUCCGAGCUUCUAAUCCAUUCUUUAGCUAUCUACAUGUAGAUAUUUUCAUCCCGUCUGUAUGUAGUCGGAGCUUGUUGUCCAACAGGUCUCCCAACUAAUUUUAUUUUCCCUUACAAGGGAUCGAAUCCUAUUGUCGGACAACUGUUGCGAAGGAAUUUUUUUUUUUUUUUAAUUUUCGUUAACACAGGAGAGAUGUACCGAGGACUUACUUUAUUCACAGAUCGUCUGUCUUGGAUUGGAUUUACGAAACCCAGUUAAACCGUGUCGGAUUUCGGACUAUUAUACAAUCUUGUUUCAUCACCGAACCAUUCGGCUAUUUCUUUCAUAUUGGGACUUCGGAAAAAAUACCUAAAACCACUCACAAAAUAUAAAACAUUAAUUUUAUCUCAUACGGGAAAGGAGUUGAUAAAGUGUCAUGACGGAGGUAGCGCAGAUCCACACGGGGGUCCAUUGGGAACCUGGGCAGGCCCCCCAAUUGGUGGAAGAAGGUUUCGAUAGCGGAAGUAAUUCUUCCAAGCUGUUUGAGCGAUCGAGGAUCAAAGCUCUAGCAGAUGAGAGAGAGGCAGUGCAAAAAAAGACCUUUACAAAAUGGGUUAAUUCACACCUUGCCCGGGUUGGCUGUCGCAUAAGUGACUUGUAUUUGGAUUUACGAGAUGGGAAGAUGUUGAUAAAAUUGCUAGAAGUCCUAUCUGGUGAGCGCCUGCCUCGGCCAACAAAAGGGAAAAUGAGGAUUCAUUGCCUGGAAAAUGUAGAUAAAGCAUUGACAUUCCUGCAUGAACAAAAAGUCCAUCUUGAAAACAUGGGUGCUCAUGACAUAGUUGAUGGCAGUGCUAGACUUACUCUUGGUCUUAUAUGGACCAUUAUUCUUCGCUUCCAGAUCCAAGAUAUCAUUGAAGAGACAGAAAAUAGUGAAACCAAAUCUGCUAAAGACGCACUCUUGCUUUGGUGCCAGAUGAAAACUGCUGGCUACCCUAAUGUCAAUGUCAGAAAUUUCACUACCAGCUGGAGAGAUGGUUUAGCUUUUAAUGCCAUCAUUCACAAACACAGAUCUGACCUUAUCCAAUAUGACAGACUUCAGAAAUCUAAUGCCAUGCAUAAUCUCAACAAUGCGUUUACUGUCGCUGAAGAAAAGCUUGGCAUCACUAAGCUUUUGGAUCCUGAAGAUGUCAAUGUUGAGAUUCCUGAUGAGAAGUCCAUCAUUACAUACGUAGUCACCUACUACCAUUACUUCUCGAAAAUGAAGGCUGAAUCUGUUCAAGGCAAGAGAAUUGGCAGAGUCAUUGACAAUGCCAUUGAUACAGAAAAAAUGAUUGAAGAAUAUGAAACCUUAACAUCUGACCUCUUGGAAUGGAUUGAACAGACAAUAGUUAUUUUGAAUGACCGAAAAUUCGCCAACUCUUUAACUGGCGUGCAGGAGCAAUUGACAGGCUUUAACACCUACAGAACUGUCGAAAAACCACCAAAAUUUGUGGAGAAAGGAAACCUUGAGGUCCUCCUAUUCACACUCCAAAGUAAGAUGAGGGCAAACAACCAAAGACCCUAUUUACCCAGAGAAGGAAAACUGAUAUCUGACAUCAACAAAGCUUGGGACAAACUUGAGAAAGCUGAACAUGAACGAGAACUGGCUCUGCGUGAAGAACUGAUCCGACAAGAAAAACUUGAGCAAUUGGCUGCCCGAUUCAAUCGUAAGGCUGGCAUGCGAGAAGUUUGGCUCAGUGAGAACCAACGGUUGGUAUCUCAGGACAAUUUCGGCCAUGACCUUGCUGCUGUCGAGGCUGCUACCAAGAAACAUGAAGCAAUUGAGACUGACAUUAACGCAUAUGAAGAACGCGUCCAAGCAGUUAUUGCUGUGUCAAAUGAAUUGCAACAGGAAAAUUACCAUGACAUCAAUAGAAUUGCGGCAAGAAAAGACAAUGUUCUGAGUCUGUGGAACUAUCUUUUGGAAUUACUACGAGCACGUCGUAUGAGACUUGAACUUUCUCUGAACUUACAGAAGAUCUUCCAAGAGAUGCUUUACAUUCUUGAUUGGAUGGAAGAAAUUAAGGCCCGACUUAUGUCUUCAGACUAUGGUAAACAUCUGAUGGGAGUCGAAGACUUGUUGCAAAAGCACAGUUUGUUGGAGGCUGACAUUAAUGUAGUCGGAGACAGAGUCAAGACUGUAAAUUCCCAGGCUCAGAGAUUUGCUGAAGGUGACUUCGUAGAUGUUGGAGCGGAGUACAGGCCCUGCAAACCAGAAGUUAUUGUGGAAAGAAUGUCAACACUUGAGACAGCUUUCACUGAACUUAAACAACUAUCAGCUGAACGCAGGGCUCGCCUUGAAGAGUCACGUAAAUUAUGGCAGUUCUACUGGGAUAUGGCAGACGAGGAAGGUUGGGUGAAAGAGAAAGAGCAGUUGAUGUCAUCUCCUGAUCUGGGACAUGAUUUAACUAGUGUACACCUCCUACUGAACAAACAUAAAGCACUGGAAGAUGAAAUGACAGCCAGACACUCACACUUGCAGUCAGUCAUCCAAGUUGGCAAUGAUCUCAUUUCUGCCGGAAAUUUCGGUGCAGACAAGAUCCAAGAACGCAUAGAUGAGAUUAACCAGCAGUGGGAGAGUUUGAUUGACCUGGCAGCAUAUCGCAAACGCAGACUCAAUGAGGCUGUUGAUUACUAUCAGUUCUUUGCUGAUGCUGAUGACAUUGACAUCUGGAUGUUGGAUACUUUCCGUAUCGUGUCCAGUGAAGAUGUCGGACGUGAUGAGGCCAGCGUACAAUCUCUGCUUAAGAAACACAAGGAUGUUACAGAUGAGCUCAAAAACUACCAGAGUGUCAUUGAAAGUCUCCAUGAGCAAGCAACUAACCUUGGAGAACAAGACCGAGAGUCUGAUGACGUACAGAGUCGAUUAGGUAGCAUUGAUCGCCGUUACCAAGAACUAUUGGAGCUUGCCAAACUUCGCAAGCAACGGUUGCUUGAUGCCCUCUCUCUCUAUAAACUUUUCAAUGAAGCAGAUGGUGUGCAGACUUGGAUUGAUGAGAAGGAGAAAUUCCUUGCAACAAUUGUUAUUACGGAUGAUAUCGAAGAACUUGCUAUUGUUAAACAUCGCUUUGAAAGUUUCGAACAUGAAAUGAACUCUACGGCAUCCAAGGUUGCAGUGGUGAACCAGCUGGCUCGGCAGUUGCUCCAAGUUGAACAUCCUAAUGCUGCUGAUGUCAUUGCUCGACAGAAUCAGCUGAACCAAGAAUGGAACACCUUGAGGUCGCUGGUUGACCAGAAGAGGGAAGAAAUACAUUUAGCUCAUGGGCUGCAGAACUUCCACAUUGAAUGCAAUGAGACGAUUGGCUGGAUAAACGAAAAGGUGAAAAUUAUCGAAUCAACUGAAGAACUUGGCAAUGAUUUAGCUGGUGUUAUGACACUACAGAGACGGCUCAGUGGUAUGGAACGAGACCUUGCUGCCAUACAAGCCAAGGUUGAAUCGUUGCAAGUGGAAGCAGAUAGACUACAAGAAACCAAACCUGAAGAAGCCCAGGCUAUUCGUGAAAAGAUCAAUGACAUCAACAAUGUAUGGAUGGAUCUCAAAGAAAUGCUCAAAGAUAGGGAUGAAAAACUUGGUGAGGCCGGCGAAUUGCAACGCUUCCUUGGUAACCUCGACCAUUUCCAGCAAUGGUUAUCUCGUACUCAGACAACUGUGGCAUCAGAAGACAUUCCCAACAAUCUGGCUGAUGCUGAGAAAUUAUUAAAUCAACACCAACAGCUUAAAGAUGAAAUUGAUGCUUAUGCCCCAGAAUAUGCUAAGAUGAAAGAGUUUGGUGAUAAAGUCACUGAGGGCCAGGAUGAUCCCCAGUAUAUGUUUCUGCGACAGCGUCUUCAAGCACUUGAUGGCGGCUGGCAGGAAUUGUUACAGAUGUGGGAGAAUAGACAGCAGCUUCUUUCUCAGAGUCUCAACUUGCAAAUGUUCCUCAGGGAUGCCAAACAAGCUGAGGUACUCCUCAACCAACAAGAGAACUUCCUAUCAAAAGAAGAAGUACCUAGUGCCAUUGGACUUGACAAGCAGAACUCGUUGGAAGCUGCUGAAAAUAUCAUUAAAAAACAUGAAGCAUUUAUCACCACAAUGGAUGCAAAUGAUGAGAAAAUUAACAACGUCUUGCAAUUUGGACAAAGACUCAUCGAAGACAACAACCAUGCUGCUGACAAAAUCAGCAAAAAAGCAGAAAACAUCAACGAAAGGCGUAAUGCAAACAGGCAGCGUGCAUAUGAACAACUGGAACGCCUUAAAGACCAGAGAAUGCUACAACAGUUCUUCCAAGACUGUGAAGAAUUACGAGACUGGCUUCAAGAUAAAAUGUCAGCUGCUCAAGAUGAGACUUAUCGUGAUGCUAAAAACCUGCACAGCAAAUAUAUGCGACAUCAAGCAUUUGAAUCUGAAAUUGCAGCUAAUAAAGAUCGUCUUUUGAAACUUCGUGAGGCUGGUGAAGGUUUGUUGAAAGAUAAACCCGAAGCUGCUGAGCAGGUUGGUCCCGUUCUUGAGGGUCUCAGCAAUCAAUGGGAAGAGCUCGAGAACACCACGAAGGACAAGGGUGAGCGGUUGUUUGAUGCCAAUCGCUCGGUCCUCUAUGAACAGAGCUGUGAUGACAUUGAUGGUUGGAUUCAACAGCUGGAAUCCCAAGUUGUUACUGAAGAAUUUGGUAGAGAUUUAACCACUGUCAAUAUUCAAAUGCAGAGGCAAAAUCAAUUGGAAAGCCAGAUGAAGUGUAAAGAGAACCAAGUGCAAGAGCUUGAUAAACAAGCUAAUUACCUGAAAACUAUGGAUCCUAAUAAGGAGGCUGAAAUAGAAGCUCGCAAAGUGGCGGUUGCUGAGCGGUUCAUGAAAAUUCAGGCGCCUUUGUUAGUACGACGAUCUCAACUUGAGAGAGUCAAACGAAUUCAUCAGUUUCAGCGUGAUAUUGAAGAUGAAAAAAUGUGGGUUGAAGAAAAGAUGCCCCUGGCAACCUCUGGCAACUAUGGCAACAGCCUUCUUAGUGUUCAGUUACUAAUGAAGAAAACACACUCAUUGCAAACAGAAAUUGAAAACCACGAACCCCGUAUUGAUUCUGUUAUUGCUGUUGGCCAAGAAUUGGUUAAUGAACAACAUCCACAAGCUGACGAAUUCCAACAACACAUUGAUGACCUUAGCACUAAGUGGAAAACUCUAAAGGAUGCUGUGGACGCAAGGAAAGCUCGCCUACAGCUCUCAGAUAUUGCCCAACAGUACUAUCAAGAUACUUCUGAGGCAGAAUCUUGGAUGAGUGAACAAGAACUUUACAUGAUGGGUGAGGAACGGGCCAAAGAUGAAAUUGGUGCACAGAAUAUGCUUAAGAAACACCAGAAUCUCGAAUCCGCUGUUGAGGACUAUGCAGAUGUUGUCCGCCAGUUGGGUGAGAGAAGCAGAAAUUUGAUUGAACAAGAACACCCAGAAAGUGAACAAAUUGCUGUUCGCCAAGCACAAGUGGACAAGCUCUAUGCUGGUCUGAAAGAUUUGGCCCAAGAACGUCGUGGCAAGCUUGAAGAGGUGCUGAAAUUAUAUAUGCUAAGUAGAGAAAUUGAAGACUUAUUACAAUGGAUUGCAGAAAGAGAAGUUGUAGCAAAAUCUCAAGAACUUGGUCAAGAAUACGAGCAUGUAACUACUCUUAAAGAAAGAUUUAAAGAAUUUGCUAGAGACACUGAAAACUUUGGACAAGAUCGUGUGGCCUCAGCAAAUGAAAUCUGUGAUAGUUUGAUUGUAGCUGAGCACUCUGAUGCUCCAAUUAUUGCUCAAUGGAAAGAUAAUUUGAACGAAGCCUGGACCGAUUUGCUAGAGUUAAUAGACACCCGCACACAGAUGUUGCAAGCUUCAUGGGAAUUAUGGAAGUUUAACCACGAUUGCAAAGAAACUCUGGAAAGAAUCCAAGAAAAGAAGAAUUACAUACCUGAAGAAGUUGGAAGAGAUGCUCAAAGUGUUGCUGUUCUUCAAAGAAAGAAUGCUAACUUUGAACACGAUUUAGUUACUCUUGGAAAUCAAGUUCAUUUAAUUCAAGAGGAAUCAGCUUGCCUUCAAAUUGGAUAUGCCGGAGAGAAGGCGCGAGAGAUUCAGAAUUGGGAAUCUGAUGUGGUUAAUGCCUGGCGUAAUUUGCAAUUAAUGGUUGAGAGCCGACGAAUGAGACUUGCUGAUGCCAGUGACCUUUAUAGAUUCUUUAAUAUGGUCAGAGACCUGAUGUUAUGGAUUGAUGACAUCAGGCGGCAAAUGAGCACUCAAGAAAAACCAAGAGAUGUGUCGGGUGUAGAGUUGUUAAUGAACAACCAUCAAAGUUUGAAGGCUGAAAUCGAUGCUAGAGAAGAAAACUUUGCCAUUUGUAUAAACUUAGGAAGAGAUCUUAUAACUCGCAAACAUUACCGAUCCAGUGAAGUGAGAGAAAAAUUAAUACAGUUAACAUCUCAAAGGCAUUCCAUGAAUGAGCAAUGGGAUGAGAGAUGGGAAUACCUGCAGCUCAUUUUGGAAGUCUAUCAGUUUGCUCGUGAUGCUGCUGUUGCUGAAUCUUGGCUUAUUGCUCAAGAGCCAUACCUUCAAAACCAAGAUCUUGGUGACACACUUGAUGCAGUUGAAAAUCUUAUUAAGAAACACGAGGCCUUUGAAAAAUCUGCAGCAACUCAAGAAGAACGAUUUGCUGCCCUCGAAAAACUUACAACAUUUGAACUUAAAGAAAUUCAAAGAAGGCAAGAAGAAGAAUAUCGACAACAACAUCCUGAAGAAGUAGAAAAAUCUAAAGAAGAGAAGAGACGAAAAUAUAUUGCAGAAUUUGUACCUCCAGAAGAGCCACCCGAGCCAGAACCAGAAGAAGUUGUAUCAACUGAACCAGAAGAUGGUGAGGCAACAUCAGACGAUCAAGGACCAGCUGCUAUGACCAAUGGAGAGAAAGAAGUAACUGAUGAAUCAGGUCAAACUGUGACCCACACCACACCACCAGCUAAAGACACACUGAGACCAGUAGCCAAAGGCGCUGUCUUAAACGAAUCGUCAUCAAACCAAGCUACAGAUGAUACUACAGUCCACUCAAAGUCCAGGUCACUCCCUCAAAGGGCCGACUCUGAGAAUAAUAAGGAGAAGAAACGAUCACGUUCCAAAUCACCAUUUGGAAGAUUCUUUGCUCGUAAACGUGAAGAUGAAGGUCCGUCAUCACCUAGUCGUUCAGAACAUCAAUUAGCUGGAGCCCCAGAAGCAGAACAUCUUGAAGGAGCAUUAAUCAGAAAACACGAGUGGGAAACACAAACCAAAAAAGCUUCCAACCGAUCUUGGGAGAAAGCUUACAUCAUACUUCAAGCAAAUGAACUUUCCUGCUAUAAAGACUUCAAACAUGCAAAGACUGAUCCUAAUACACGCCUUCAUCAUGAAACUGCCAUCAAUUUGAGUGGAGCUACCUGUGAUCGAGCUCACGAUUACACCAAACGUCCUCAUGUGUUCCGUCUAAAAUUGGCCGGUGGUGCUGAAUACCUAUUCCAAUGUAAAGAUGAUGCUGAAAUGGAGAAUUGGAUCACAAAAGUAAGUGCAGCAACUGGAGAAGCCAGCAGUAGCGGUCCCACUAGAUCCCAAACACUCCCUGCAAAACCAGACGGUGAACCAAAACGAGAUGAACACAAGCGAAGGAGUUUUUUCACAUUGAAAAAGAAAUAAAUAUCCACAAAAAGAUAAAUUCAUUGCAGUCCUUUCACACAUGCUUUGGGUGGAAUAUCUGAAGAGGCUACGCUGUUGCUGCUUUUGCUGCCAGAACAACAAUCUUUGAUGCAGCAUAGUUUUUCAGCAGCAGCAACAAUUUUGUCCCAAAACCAAACAAAAAACAGCAAAAAAAAAAAAAAAAAAAUCUAUAUAUAUAUAAAUAUAUAAACUGUGGCAUUCCAUCUAUGCAAAACUGGACUCAAACCAACAACCAACUACAGUGGAUUGAACAACAACAAAACUAUGAACUUCUGAAAUAUUAAAGUAACCAUAUUAAAAAACAUUACAGAUAUUUUGCCUUUCAAAUUAAAGCCUCUUCUAUAAAUUGAAUGACUGUACAGAGAAAUUGUGUGUGUGUGAGUGAGCGUGCGCCUGUAUGAGGAAAUAAAGAAAAAUUCCAAUAAAUUAGCCUGAGAUGUAUAAUGCGCCUAAAAGAAUUUCACCCAUUUACUUAGACUAAUUAAUUCUGCCUAAUAACUUGGAGGUAUAACUGACUUAUCUGUUAAACUAUGAAGAAUGAGUCUAAUGUAAGAAAGUUGUAUCCAAGACAAGCUGAAUGUAUAUUUGCAUCACAGUGUGUCAUCUCUCUCCCCCCCCCCAAAAGAACACACUGACGUCUGUAUGUUUAUAUGUGGCAUGUGUGUAUGUCAAGAAGAUAUUGUCCUGAUGCUUUUUGCCUAAAUUGCUGGCUUACUCCUUUUGCUGGUUGAUUCAUGUGCAGCUGCCAAGUGCUUGCAACCUGUAACAGACAAGAGAAAAUAAAAACAACCAAAUAACAUUUGGUUUAAUCUUACAUAUAGUAUCAAUUUACCUGUUUGUGUUUGCUUUUGACGACGACAAUUGUUAUAGGGAUUUCCAAUAUAUUUAUAGUACAAUGGACUUAGCUGGAAAAAAAACAAAUUGGACACAUAUUUCACAUUAGGCAGCUUCUUAAUAUAUUUUCUUCACUUUUUAGAAAGAGGUUAGAAAGAAAAUUUCCCUUCCCUUUUCCCGAAAUUGCAAAUAUUUUAUUUUUAUUAUACGUUAAAUUUUAAAAAAACGGAAACAAAUUCCUGUUUUGCUUUUAAAAAGAAAUUUUUUUGAUAUCAAUAACCGUUUCAUUACUUGUCGACAUAUUUAAAAAAACUUUCCACAACACUUUAAGAAUUUAACAACUGUUCAAUUUAAAUUAAGGGAAAUGAAAAAAUAUAAAAAUUAUGUGGUGUUGUCAAAAUUCUUUGGAGUGCAUUUCUAUUCUUUGCUCUCAUAACAAAACAGCUGUUUAAUAAUCUGGACGGGAAUUUUCUUGUACCUCUUUCCAUUUCUCCAUUAACUCUAAGCAAUGAAGAAAAUAUAUGUUGAUCUGCAGCUUAAAUGUGGUCACUUUAGCUAAAAAACUGACACAGAUAUUUGUAUAAGUUAUUAUUAUUAUUGUCCAUAAUUGUGAUGUAAAUUAUUCUUAAACCCAAACUUCUUCCUCCAGACGUAGCCAGUUU